GAGCGCAGGGGGCCGGGCCUGCACCUGCCGGGGCCCGCGGAGGGGUCGGCAGCCCCGGCCCCGCGGACCCCAGCUUGGUCCUGCUCUGCUUCCGGGGUGCGGGGCGCCGGGGGUCGGAGCCUGGGGAGCCCCGAGGUCAGGGACCCGGCCCCAGCCGGCCCCCGGGGUCCCGGGAGCUGUCGGAAGGCGGGCGGCCAGGGACUUUGAACAUGCGGGGGUCGCCGUCAGCAGACCCGCCCCGGGAGGAAGGCCUGGGGAAAGGGCCGCCCGUCUGGCCCUGUGGCUGUCCCGACAGAGUCCCGAGGCACGGCGGGCCUCGUGAGCGGGGAGUGUGCAUCCCAGGGAAGACAGCGGCUCCCGGGAGGUGGCGUGCUCGUGUUCCAACCGCCGAUGCUCUCCAGAGGCGACUGCCCGUCCUCACCCCCGAAUGUCAGUUGGAGCCACCGCUGCUUCAGCCGAGCGCUACCCUCGGGCGCGGCGAGCCUGUCCGUGCUCGAGGAGGACAAGGGCCGGGGGCGGCCACCACGGCCGAGCAGGUCUCGUCGGGGAUGCAGGAGCCUCUAGACGAACCAGAGACCCAGGACCCAGCUCAAGCAGAGGCUGCACGAUUCACUGCCAAACAGCGGAUGGAGCGCGAGGAGCGGGUCGGGCACAAGCCAGGAAGCUCGCACCUUCCUAAGUGGCGACCGUGCGGCAGCGAAAUACCAUUAUUUUUGGAAAGAGAAGCUCUCCACAUUUCAGUGUGUCUGACUCAAGGAAUAUUCUGAAACCCUGCAGAACUGGCAAGCAAACGAAAGUCGGCUAAGUUGACCAGCGUAAUGUGGACAAGAGCAUUAUUUUUGGCAAGUCUGAC
rnacentral:lncRNA from 1 species